rnacentral:rRNA from 1 species
GAUGAACGCUAGCGGCAGGCUUAAUACAUGCAAGUCGAGGGGUAACAGGUCUGUAGCAAUACAGAUGCUGACGACCGGCAAACGGGUGCGGAACACGUACAGAACCUUCCUUCGAGUGGGAGAUAGCCCAGGGAAACUUGGAGUAAUAUCCCAUAGGAUCAUAGAGUGGCAUCACUUAGUGAUUAAAGAUUUAUCGCUUGAAGAUGGCUGUGCGGCUGAUUAGGUAGUUGGCGUAGGUAACGGCUCACCAAGCCUUCGAUCAGCCACUGGUGCGAGAGCACGGCCAGUCACACGGGCACUGAGACACGGGCCCGACUCCUACGGGAGGCAGCAGUAAGGAAUAUUGGGCAAUGGAGGCAACUCUGACCCAGCCAUGCCGCGUGGAGGAUGAAGGUCCUCUGGAUUGUAAACUUCUUUUAUUUGGGAAGAAAUGCCGAUUUUCUAAUUGGUUUGACGGUACCAGAUGAAUAAGCACCGGCUAACUCCGUGCCAGCCGCCGCCGUAAGAC